rnacentral:misc_RNA from 1 species
GAAAUGCGAUAAGUAAUGUGAAUUGCAGAAUUCAGUGAAUCAUCGAAUCUUUGAACGCACAUUGCGCCCGCCAGUAUUCUGGCGGGCAUGCCUGUUCGAGCGUCAUUACAACCCUCAGGCCCCCGGGCCUGGCGUUGGGGAUCGGCGGAAGCCCCCUGCGGGCACAACGCCGUCCCCCAAAUACAGUGGCGGUCCCGCCGCAGCUUCCAUUGCGUAGUAGCUAACACCUCGCAACUGGAGAGCGGCGCGGCCACGCCGUAAAACACCCAACUUCUGAAUGUUGACCUCGAAUCAGGUAGGAAUACCCGCUGAACUUAAGCAUAUCAAUAAGCGGAG